rnacentral:rRNA from 1 species
AUGCAAGUCGAACGGCAGCGGGGACUUCGGUCCGCCGGCGAGUGGCGAACGGGUGAGUAACGUAUCGGAACGUACCUUUCAGUGGGGGAUAACGUAGCGAAAGUUACGCUAAUACCGCAUAUUCUGUGAGCAGGAAAGCAGGGGAUCGCAAGACCUUGCGCUGAUUGAGCGGCCGAUAUCAGAUUAGCUAGUUGGUGAGGUAAAGGCUCACCAAGGCGACGAUCUGUAGCGGGUCUGAGAGGAUGAUCCGCCACACUGGAACUGAGACACGGUCCAGACUCCUACGGGAGGCAGCAGUGGGGAAUUUUGGACAAUGGGGGCAACCCUGAUCCAGCCAUGCCGCGUGAGUGAAGAAGGCCUUCGGGUUGUAAAGCUCUUUCGGCCGGGAAGAAAUCGUAUGGGUUAAUACCCUGUGCGGAUGACGGUACCGGCAUAAGAAGCACCGGCUAACUACGUGCCAGCAGCCGCGGUAAUACGUAGGGUGCGAGCGUUAAUCGGAAUUACUGGGCGUAAAGCGUGCGCAGGCGGUUCGUUAAGUCUGAUGUGAAAGCCCCGGGCUCAACCUGGGAAUGGCAUUGGAAACUGGCGGGCUGGAGUGUGGCAGAGGGGGGUGGAAUUCCACGUGUAGCAGUGAAAUGCGUAGAGAUGUGGAGGAACACCGAUGGCGAAGGCAGCCCCCUGGGCCAACACUGACGCUCAGGCACGAAAGCGUGGGGAGCAACCAGGAUUAGAUACCCUGGGUAGUCCACGCCCUAAACGAUGAUCACUGGGUGUUGGGGAAGCGAUUCCUUGGUACCGUAGCUAACGCGUGAAGUGAUCCGCCUGGGGAGUACGGUCGCAGGAUUAAAACUCAAAGGAAUUGACGGGGGACCCGCACAAGCGGUGGAUGAUG